GACGAACGCUGGCGGCGCGCCUAACACAUGCAAGUCGAACGGAGUCAAGAGGAGCUUGCUUUUCUUGACUUAGUGGCGAACGGGUGAGUAACGCGUGAGUAACCUGCCCUGGAGUGGGGGACAACAGUUGGAAACGACUGCUAAUACCGCAUAAGCCCACGGAUCCGCAUGGAUCUGCGGGAAAAGGAUUUAUUCGCUUCAGGAUGGACUCGCGUCCAAUUAGCUAGUUGGUGAGGUAACGGCCCACCAAGGCGACGAUUGGUAGCCGGACUGAGAGGUUGAACGGCCACAUUGGGACUGAGACACGGCCCAGACUCCUACGGGAGGCAGCAGUGGGGGAUAUUGCACAAUGGGGGAAACCCUGAUGCAGCGACGCCGCGUGGAGGAAGAAGGUUUUCGGAUUGUAAACUCCUGUCGUUAGGGACGAUAAUGACGGUACCUAACAAGAAAGCACCGGCUAACCACGUG
rnacentral:rRNA from 1 species